UACGAAGGGGGCUAGCGUUGUUCGGAAUUACUGGGCGUAAAGCGCACGUAGGCGGAUUGUUAAGUCGGGGGUGAAAUCCUGGAGCUCAACUCCAGAACUGCCUUCGAUACUGGCGAUCUAGAGGCCGGGAGAGGUGAGUGGAACUGCGAGUGUAGAGGUGAAAUUCGUAGAUAUUCGCAAGAACACCAGUGGCGAAGGCGGCUCACUGGCCCGGUACUGACGCUGAGGUGCGAAAGCGUGGGGAGCAAACGGG
rnacentral:rRNA from 1 species